AAAAAGGGCUUCUGUUGUGAGCGACACACGUAGAACAGCCUGAUUGCUCUACGUGCAGAAUCAACAUCAAGAGAUUUCAGAAGCAUAAUUUUUUGGUACUUGGGCAGCUGGUGAUCGUUGGUCCUGGUGCCCGU
ensembl:snRNA U11 spliceosomal RNA